UGGGGUCACAGAGCCCGCCUGCUGCUGGUGGCACCAAAUAGUUCUGGGGUCACACAGCAGGACAACAUGCCUGCUGCUGGUGGCACCAAAUAGGUUUCGGAUCACACAGUGGGACAGCCCACCUGCUACUGGUGGCACCAAAUAAGAGGGGUCUGGGAAGGUACACAGUGUGUGUCCUGUUUCUGAACUAUCUUCACUAUUAACAGAAUGGAAAAAUCCCUUUCUGCAGAUCAAGCCCAUCCACCGACAUUAAUUUUUGCCUUCGAUCUGCUCAGCCAACAAAAGGAUACCGAAUACUGUUAUUUCCUGUUUACUGUCCUGCUGGCACGUUCAAGCUUGCUGUCCCUCCUGAGCUGUGGAAGUUUCAACAGAGGACAGAGAGUGGUUCAACCAGAUUUACCCAGAGCAUCUCCCCGACCAGAACGGCUCUAGGAAAUGGAGGUGGCAGUUUCCCAUGUUGCAAAAUGAAACAAAAAAAUUAGUCACCUUACCACGUCUUGCGAAAAAGUUUUAAGUAGCUACUAUCAGAGUUCCUGAUGAUGAAUAAAGAU